AAAAAAUGACAUUGGGGGGUGCUUUAAAAUGUAGCAGAAUAAGAAUGGAGCAGUGAAGUAGAAGAACAGACGGUGGCGACAGGAAGGUAAAAUUGUCGUCACAAGACAAAGACAAAAAAACACUAGACACGUAAAUGAACAAACCACAGAGGAGAAAUAUGACACACACGAGACAGGGAACAAAAACUGACACUCAAAUGCUGAGGGUUUUUUUUUUUCUACGUCCUAUCUGAUUGAAUGUUCUUCAGAAAGUGGUGAUUGUAGCUGUUCCUGUCAGAGUGACGGACUGAAUGAGGAACUGCAGCGGGAGGGCGAGGAAGCACAGGAGCCAAACGUGUGUUAAAGAACAUGGAGAAUGUUCUGGACAAUUGACCGGUUUAACCCAAUGAUCAACAGACCGACUCAUACACUAAGGCUGGUAAACAUACUGACAUUUAUGCAGCCGUGGACAGGAAGUUGCGGACAACAGAAAAUCAACGUACCUCCAUAAACGAUUCCAAACUGUCCAGAUCCCAGCACUUCAUCAGCAAAAAUCUGAUACACCGUCCCAAUGUCCUGGAGGAGAUGGAUUUUAUUUAAAUGUAACCAUUAGCUUAGGUAUCAUAGAUAUUAAAUAUGUUCAUUUUUGUCAUGUACAUUUUUUAUUUAUAAUUAAAUAAAUUUCAACAUUAAAAAAUGCAUUUACAAAACAUA